rnacentral:snRNA from 1 species
GGAUGUGAGGUCCAUCUGGUGGAGACUGAUGCCACGCCGCCGAUCACCAGACUUGAUCAGGGAUCGGGCUGUCUGGGCAGGUGUCCCCUCUCACCCUCACCUCGCCGUAUGAUCUGUCGAGAGGCUGGCCGUCCUCGACAGAGGAGCACUAGUCUUUCUCCAGGGCAGAUGAGAAGCUGUUCUUCUCUUGCUGGAACCUCCAAAUUAGCCUCCAAGGUUAAUCUGUAGCAGGAUGGAGGGAAGUCAGGCUUGAAAGACUCCAGACACACCAGGUGAGGCGCUGCAUGUGACUGCCUGCUUUUCCUUUU